rnacentral:rRNA from 1 species
CGUCAGUCAACAUGCCCAGGGGACGUGGAUAACCUCGGGAAACUGAGGAUAAACCGCGAUAGGCCAAGGUUUCUGGAAUGGACACUGGCUGAAACCUAUAUGGCCCCUGGAUUGGACUGCGGCCGAUCAGGCUGUUGGUGAGGUAAUGGCCCACCAAACCUGUAACCGGUACGGGCUUUGAGAGAAGGAGCCCGGAGAUGGGCACUGAGACAAGGGCCCAGGCCCUAUGGGGCGCAGCAGGCGCGAAACCUCUGCAAUAGGCGAAAGCUUGACAGGGUUACUCUGAGUGAUGCCCGCUAAGGGCAUCUUUUGGCACCUCUAAAAAUGGUGCAGAAUAAGGGGUGGGCAAGUCUGGUGUCAGCCGCCGCGGUAAUACCAGCACCCCGAGUGGUCGGGACGAUUAUUGGGCCUAAAGCAUUCGUAGCUUGUUCUGCAAGUCCUCCGUUAAAUCCACCUGCUCAACAGAUGGGCUGCGGGGGAUACUACAGGGCUAGGAGGCGGGAGAGGCAAACGGUACUNAGUGGGUAGGGGUAAAAUCCUCUGAUCCACUGAAGACCACCAGU